rnacentral:lncRNA from 1 species
GAAUAGUCAAAUGCGACUUCAAAAAUGAUACAAUGUUGUGGCCGUCAUGUAAGACUAAGCUAGUUGAGAGAUGUGUAUCGGGAGUUGUGCAUGAAGAGGCAUUGGGAGUUUGUUGCACAUGCAUUCUUGUUACAUCUUAUGGGGUGCACUACAUUUGCAGAUAAAUGCAACUUUUAUUGGUGUAUUGUAUUUGCAUCUAGGGGUGACAACAAGAUGGAGUGGGUGCAGGUUUCAUUAUACAUCCCCAUCCCA